CCAAAGUGUAAAACAUGACAUUUCCUGUUCCCACUAGGUGGCGCUGUCCUUGAUGUCAAAUAUGGCAGUUGAAAUAUGUUCAGGGGUGGAGCCUUAUCAUAUGUGUGCUCUUUGGUCCAGAUUGGAACAUGUAUGACAGAAUGAGAGGCAAUAAGAUUUUCAUGGCGAGUCAUCGAAAUUCGCCAUGGCGCCACGGCCUCAUAGUAUUGUGAAAACUCAAAAGCUCCGCAAUUUAACAUGGCACAAGGGUGUAGUUGACACUGUCCAAAUUUGGAGCUUAUAGGAACAAAUGCCAAGGAGGAGUUCGUUAAAGUUCGAGGCAUGGAAAUGGCAAAAUUAGAGACAAAAUGUCACCUUCUCUUCCAAAUGGCGGACUUCCUGUUGGGUUUGCGUCAAUGGGCCCACUGACUUUUUUGUUCGUCUUGGCAUGAUACACAUGUGUGCCAAAUUUCAUACAUGUAGCUCAAACGAUGUGGUCGUAGGGCUGCAUUUAACAAGGCAUAGGUGGCGCCGUAGAGCCAUUUCCCAGUGCUCAUAUGUAAAACCAUUAAAAUACAAAAUUUUUCACCAGACCUGGCAUGUGUGCAAAAUUUCAUGAGUUUUUGAGCAUGUUUAGGCCCUCAAAAAGGCCCUUGUUUGGGGUGAAUAAUAAUAAUAAUAAUAAUAAUUAAAGCUGCAAGCAGCGUUAUGAGGGCCCUCGCACCCCCGGCACGUCGAGCCACUGCCAACACCUCAAACCGGC
ensembl:lncRNA